CCUACGGGGGGCAGCAGUGGGGAAUCUUGCGCAAUGCGCGAAAGCGUGACGCAGCAACGCCGCGUGAGGGAAGACGGCCUUCGGGUUGUAAACCUCUUUCAGUUGGGACGAAGCUUCAGUCGUUAACAGCGGCUUGGAGUGACGGUACCUUCACAAGAAGCCCCGGCUAACUACGUGCCAGCAGCCGCGGUAAUACGUAGGGGGCUAGCGUUGUCCGGAAUCAUUGGGCGUAAAGAGCGUGUAGGCGGCCCGAUCAGUCCGCUGUGAAAGUCCAA
rnacentral:rRNA from 1 species